rnacentral:rRNA from 1 species
UACAGAGGUCUCAAGCGUUGUUCGGAUUCAUUGGGCGUAAAGGGCGCGUAGGCGGCGGGGUAAGUCUGGUGUGAAAUCUCGGAGCUCAACUCCGAAAUUGCACUGGAUACUGCUCUGCUUGAGGGUUGGAGAGGAGAUCGGAAUUCACGGUGUAGCAGUGAAAUUCGUAGAUAUUGGGAAGAACACCGGUGGCGAAGGCGGCUAUCUGGCCCGUAAUUGACGCUGAGGCGCGAAAGCGUGGGGAGCAAACAGG